AUUGAACGCUGGCGGCAUGCCUAACACAUGCAAGUCGAGCGGAGCGGCGGACGGGGGAGUAAUGCCUAGGAAUCUGCCUGGUAGUGGGGGAUAACGUCCGGAAAGGGGCGCUAAUACCGCAUACUAUCAGAUGAGCCUAGGUCGGAUUAGCUAGUUGGUGGGGUAAAGGCUUACCAAGGUGACGAUCCGUAACUGGUCUGAGAGGAGGAUCAGUCACACUGGAAAUGAGACACGGUCCAGACUCCUACGGGAGGCAGCAGUGGGGAAUAUUGGACAAUGGGCGAAAGCCUGAGCCAGCCAUGCCGCGUGUGUGAAGAAGGUCUUCGGAUUGUAAAGCACUUUAAGUUGGGAGGCGUUACCAACAGAAUAAGCACCGGCUAACUUCGUGCCAGCCGCCGCGGUAAUUC
rnacentral:rRNA from 1 species